ensembl:snoRNA
UGGAUCGAUGAUGAUAUAUGCCAGCGUAUGAGUCAUCGAUGACGAAUAACAUGUGUCUGGAACUCUGAGGUCCAA